rnacentral:lncRNA from 1 species
AAUGCUCAUGACAAAGAUGCUAGCGCAAUUGCUGGAUAUGAUGCAGUCUAUGGAAGCACUCAAAAACAAGGGGAUGCUAGUCCAAUUGCUGGAUAUGAUGCAGUCUAUGGAAGCACUCGAAAACAAGGGGAUGCUAGUCCAAUUGCUGGGUAUGAUGCAGUCUAUGGAAGCACUAAAAAACAAGGGGAUGCUAGUCCAAUUGCUGGCUAUGAUGCAGUCUAUGGAAGCACUCAAAAACAAGGGGAUGCUAGUCCAAUUGCUGGAUAUGAUGCAGUCUAUGGAACCUCUCAAAAAGCAGAAGGAAGUUCCAUCAAUGUUCACAAGGAUGCUAGCUCAAUUGCCGGAUAUGAUGCAGUCUAUGGAAACUCUCAACAAAAAGCAGGAGGAAGUUCUAUCAAUGCUUACAAAGAUUCUAGCCCAGUUGCGGGGUAUGAUGCAGUUAAUGUGUUUUUGGAAAAAGACCUGCAUCCUGGGACAAAAAUGGCGGUGCGCUUCACAAAAAC